rnacentral:rRNA from 1 species
CCUACGGGGGGCAGCAGUGAGGAAUAUUGGUCAAUGGACGAGAGUCUGAACCAGCCAAGUAGCGUGAAGGAUGACUGCCCUAUGGGUUGUAAACUUCUUUUAUAUGGGAACAAAAUGUUCCACGUGUGGGAUUUUGUAUGUACCAUAUGAAUAAGGAUCGGCUAACUCCGUGCCAGCAGCCGCGGUAAUACGGAGGAUCCGAGCGUUAUCCGGAUUUAUUGGGUUUAAAGGGUGCGUAGGUGGAUUGUUAAGUCAGUUGUGAAAGUUUGCGGCUCAACCGUAAGAUUGCAGUUGAAACUGGCAGUCUUGAGUACAGUAGAGGUGGGCGGAAUUCGUGGUGUAGCGGUGAAAUGCUUAGAUAGCACGAAGAACUCCGAUUGCGAAGGCAGCUCACUGGACUGCAACUGACACUGAGGCUCGAAAGUGUGGGUAUCGAACAGGAUUAGAUACCCCUGUAGUC